CUACGGGGCGCUCCAGUGGGGAAUAUUGCACAAUGGGGGGAACCCUGAUGCAGCAACGCCGCGUGGAGGAUGACGCAUUUCGGUGUGUAAACUCCUUUUAUAUGUCAAGAAAAUGACGGUAGCAUAUGAAUAAGCACCGGCUAACUCCGUGCCAGCAGCCGCGGUAUACGGAGGGUGCAAGCGUUACUCGGAAUCACUGGGCGUAAAGGACGCGUAGGCGGGUUGGAAAGUCAGGUGUGAAAUCCUACAGCUUAACUGUAGAACUGCACUUGAAACUUCUAAUCUAGAGUAUGGGAGGGGGAGAUGGAAUUAGUGGUGUAGGGGUAAAAUCCGUAGAUAUCACUAGGAAUACCUAAAGCGAAGGCGAUCUCCUGGAACAUUACUGACGCUAAGGCGUGAAAGCGUGGGGAGCAAACAGGAUUAGAUACCCCUGUAGUC
rnacentral:rRNA from 1 species